GUCAGUGAAGUAUAGUGGUUUGAGUGCUGGACUAGGACUCUGGAAAUCAGGGUUCAAUUCCCUGCUUAGCCA